GCAUUGCUUUGUGGUGUCUCCCAGCUCUAGAAGCAGCAGAGGGAAGGUUGUUCUGGAGUGGGUCUCGCAAGUGGCCACCGAGAUGUCAUUCAGAAGGGUGUAAAACAGCCACCUGCGUGGGACUGUGGGCUCCUCGCUGCUCAGGGGCUGCUGCAACCACAUCCUGGGACCUGAUCUACAGCUGGCUGGAGGAAAAAGUGGUUCCCUGCGUUCUUCUGUUCCAGAAUAAAAUAAGUUAUGGGAAAUCUUGGGAGCUGAA